GGGGCCGUAGCUCAGUUGGGAGAGCGAUACGUUCGCAACGUAUAGGUCGGGAGUUCGAAUCUCCUCGGCUCCA
rnacentral:tRNA from 1 species